CGUUUGACCUCGGAUCAGGUAGGGAUACCCGCUGAACUUAAGCAUAUCAAUAAGCGGAGGAAAAGAAACCAACAGGGAUUGCCCUAGUAACGGCGAGUGAAGCGGCAACAGCUCAAAUUUGAAAUCUGGCUCUUUUAGAGUCCGAGUUGUAAUUUGCAGAGGGCGCUUUGGCUUUGGCAGCGGUCCAAGUUCCUUGGAACAGGACGUCACAGAGGGUGAGAAUCCCGUACGUGGUCGCUAGCUAUUGCCGUGUAAAGCCCCUUCGACGAGUCGAGUUGUUUGGGAAUGCAGCUCUAAAUGGGAGGUAAAUUUCUUCUAAAGCUAAAUAUUGGCCAGAGACCGAUAGCGCACAAGUAGAGUGAUCGAAAGAUGAAAAGCACUUUGGAAAGAGAGUCGAACAGCACGUGAAAUUGUUGAAAGGGAAGCGCUUGCAGCCAGACUUGCUUGCAGUUGCUCAUCCGGGCUUUUGCCCGGUGCACUCUUCUGCAGGCAGGCCAGCAUCAGUUUGGGCGGUGGGAUAAAGGUCUCUGACACGUUCCUUCCUUCGGGUUGGCCAUAUAGGGGAGACGUCAUACCACCAGCCUGGACUGAGGUCCGCGCAUCUGCUAGGAUGCUGGCGUAAUGGCUGUAAGCGGCCCGUCUUGAAACACGGACCAAGGAGUCUAACAUCUAUGCGAGUGUUUGGGUGUCAAGCCCGAGCGCGUAAUGAAAGUGAACGGAGGUGGGAACCCGCAAGGGUGCACCAUCGACCGAUCCUGAAGUUUACGGAAGGAUUUGAGUAAGAGCAUGGCUGUUGGGACCCGAAAGAUGGUGAACUAUGCUUGAAUAGGGUGAAGCCAGAGGAAACUCUGGUGGAGGCUCGCAGCGGUUCUGACGUGCAAAUCGAUCGUCAA
rnacentral:rRNA from 1 species